rnacentral:rRNA from 1 species
ACGAACGCUGGCGGCGUGCUUAACACCUGCAAGUCGAACGGAAAGGCCUCUUUCGGGGGGUACUCGAGUGGCGAACGGGUGAGUAACACGUGAGUAACCUGCCCUUGACUUUGGGAUAACUUCAGGAAACUGGGGCUAAUACCGGAUAGGAGCUCCUGCUGCAUGGUGGGGGUUGGAAAGUUUCGGCGGUUGGGGAUGGACUCGCGGCUUAUCAGCUUGUUGGUGGGGUAGUGGCUUACCAAGGCUUUGACGGGUAGCCGGCCUGAGAGGGUGACCGGCCACAUUGGGACUGAGAUACGGCCCAGACUCCUACGGGAGGCAGCAGUGGGGAAUAUUGCACAAUGGGUGGAAGCCUGAUGCAGCAACGCCGUGUGCGGGAUGACGGCCUUCGGGUUGUAAACCGCUUUCGCUCAUGACGAAGCUUUGUGUGACGGUAGUGGGUAAAGAAGCACCGGCUAACUACGU